rnacentral:lncRNA from 1 species
UGCCUCAUAAAAAGGAGUUCAUACAACAACAACAACUAAACCUCAAUAAAAAAAAAAGUGGUUUAUAAGUAACGAAUGCUAUGUGAGGUUUCAUAGUACAUUUGACCUUCUAAAAGGUGCUGCAAGACUCUCGAAAGAUGAGAGGCUGACAACAAUUCUCAACUCUUUUGUUUAUAAUUAAAUUUACAUGUGCUAUUAAGAUGAAUCACAGGUUUCAAUAAGAUGGUAAGUUCUAAAAAUGAUUAUACUAAGCAUUUUCACCCAGCAGAGCAAAUAAAUUCAUUUCAAAGAAAGAGAAUGCUCAAAUGCAGCAAAAACUAUUACAAGGAUUCAUUUUCAGAUGGUUUUAAUUACUAUGAAAUUGAAGUUGAACGUGACUGGCAUGUCAAUGCCAUCUGUUGGUGGUUACCACAAGGCCACCAAUAUCACUAACCUAGGAACUAACUGGUCAAUAACUGCUGCACUAGCAUGGUAGAAUACACCAGUUAGAUAGCCUAAUUAUCCAACUGAUAAUCUGUUAUAACUGGGAUAUCACAUGAACAUUGCCAUCUAAAAGACUAAUUCAACUAUGUCUAUAAAGUUCAGGUUUUAGAAAUAGUAAGAGUAACAAUAACAGAUAUCAAAAGAGCUAAUUUUGCUUGCUAGUAAAAUUUUCAGCAAAAGACCAGUGAAGUUCAACAUGAAUGUUGUAGUCCAUAUAAAAACAGUUGAUUUUUUCUUACAACAACCAGUGUACAUAGAUGCAAUUUAGAGGCCACUGGCAUAAAAAGACUAAAAUUGUAAUCCAAGAAUCACUGGGCCUGAGAUUGCAUCACUCUAUGAUUGAAAACUUGAGGGCAUACCUUGUGUUGGAAUUUUAAAGAUUAAAAAUGCUUAACGCAAUUAUUGUAUUCACUCUCUAAAAAAAUGCUCUGUAAAAGUUCCUCUUCCAAUUAAUACAGUUUUGUGAGUAGCGAGUGUGUGUUCAUUUCCAACAAAGUGGUAUCAAAGCUUUGUAGUUCCUGGUAAAUCUGAAAUGGCAAGUGUUUUAGUUCCAUUUCAAUUUGUUAGACUAUGUCUGAAAGCACUAUCAGGAUUCCAAGAUGCUGGGAAUUAUGGAGAGAUGCUUUGUAAAGCCAGAAGAUGUGGAUACCUAGCAGAGAUCAAGAAAGAAAGGCCAGCAGGGACCUACACUCAUCCACCAGGGUUUGGAUGAUACUAUGUUUGAGAAGGUUGCCAAUGUAACCAAUUCUAAGCAGGCUCGGGACAUUCUUCAAAACACCUGUACAGGUGUUGACAAAGUGAAGAAAUUUCACCUUCAAACUCUUAGAUGGAGACCUUGAAGUCCUUUGUAAGACGCAAUCUGAUUCAGUUUCAUAUUAUUUCAUCGAAGAUUCUCUGCUCUAAUACUACUUUGUUGGAAUAAACACACACAAAAACUAAUCACAAAAGUGCAUUAAUUGGAAGAGGAAUGUUUACAGAGUGUUUUUCACUUCUUACUCACAUUGAGAACCUUACAAGAUCUCCCCUGUAUAUGUUCAUAGUCCUUGCAACUUUUAGUAAACCCACAACUUCGCUUCAAUUACUUAAAGUUAUGAAACCCCCAUCAUUUAUCUUCAAAACACUAAUGCAGUAAAAAAUUGAGUUCAUGUUCUAACACAAGUUUCAAAAUUAUUUUCCAACAAGGCCUUACGAAUAUUCGUGAACUCUCCAUAGAACUUAACUCCAUAACUAGUUUUUUACAUGUUGAUCCUGUGUAAUUUUAUUGGGGUAUAAUCCAAUAUUCACCAAAUGAAUCCUGUUUAAUCAUAUCCUAUGAUGGCAUGAGCUCUUGUUUAAGAAAAUUGGAAAAGGAAAAGGCUUUCACAUUCUCACCUGUAAGCCAUUUCAUCCAUGAUAGUUUUACCAACACAGGUGGCUCCUCCUCUUAAGACGGCCAAAACAGCAGGAGCAGUUGAGGUAGCAGCAGAAUGAGUCCUUGCCCAGUCAGGAUUACCAAAUCCAGUCACAUAUCCCUCCACAUCAAAUCUAUUUCCAUAAUUCAACUCACAAAAAACAAAUUCAUCAAUCACUACAAGAAAAAAGAACCAAUUCAUAUAAAAGUUUGCAAACACACAAACACCCCCACUAGCAAAAAGCAUAAACCCAAAACCAAGAAUUGGAAACUUGGCCUAGAAGCUUGAAAACAAUAAAAAGACACACCUUUCCUUUACUCUUUUCUAAGAAGUUUUCAUAAACGUAAGAGACUUAAAGUAUCUUUGUCUAGGAAAUGAAGGCAAAGAAAAAGGUGAAUUGAAGGGACUUACAUAUCUUUAACUGCAAAAGUGAGGCCAUGCAAUGGUUGAUCAUGAGCUGAAGAGGUAGGUUCAAGCACAAAUUUGUCCAUGAAAGCUCCAUAAUCCGGGUCUCGUUCCAUGUCUAGUCCUGCUCUAGCUAGUGUGUGUGUGACUGUAACGGGACUCUAUCCCAAUCGUUGUUUAAAGCAGAAAAAUGCUGUUGACAGGUCAGCAUUUACGAGGUUAAAAAAACAUAUUUGUAACUUGCAAGGCUGUUUAGAGAAAUUUUGAUUUUUUUUUUAAAUUAAUAUAUAUAUAUAUAUAUUUAAAUAAUUUUUUUAAAAAAAACAAUCUCUACAAUAAUUAUAAAUAAACUCUGACAGGCUAAAAAUUAACCAUGAGAAAAGCAGAAAAAUAUUGUUAAGAGUGUUAAGCUAUAAAAUACAUGAAUAGUACAACACACAAAUCCCAAAAGAAAAUCUCGAUUUCAAUUUUAUUUUUUAAAUAAAAAUAAAAAUAACAAUAUUUUGAUAAAAAAAAUUCAUCAUGAUUAGCAAGUUAAAUAUGCAACUUGAUUGUGAUAUAAAGAUAACUUCAUUAAAAAUAAACUAAAUAAAAAUAUGAAACUCAAUUAUAAAAAAAUUCAAUAUUUAAGGGUAAAACUGAUUUUUUUUAAAAAAGCAAGAAAACAAAUUGUUAACCCGGGUUAACUCACUAACCCUGUGACGAUGAACACAAAAUUAUGUUAACCUUGUAGAAAAAAAAACUAAAAAUCAAUUCUCAAUAAAUUAAAUGUUGAAGAAUAAAAUUAAAAAAUAAUAAUUAAAAAAGGACAUGAAAAAAACACCAAAGUCAACCGGUGUUAACCCUCAAACCCGUGACCCUAAUCAUGAGUGUGAGACCAACCCCAUAGAAGAAAAACCCUAAAAGAUAAUAAAGCAAAAUUAUAAAUUAAUAAAAUAUUAGAGGAUAAAAUUAAAAAAAAUGCAAUAAAAGAGCUCCAAAAAAAUAAAAUAACAAUAAAAAAAAGGACUAAAUUUAAUAUAAAACUAUUUUGAAAUCAAAUGUAGAGGAAUGAAAUUAAAAACAAUAAUAAAAAAGAAUGAGACCAAAUUAAAUACAAAAAAUAAAUGACACUUUUUAAAUUUUUGCAAGGAUAAAAGAGAGAAAAGAGUGAGUGGAAGAAAAAAAAAAAAAUACUAUCAGAGCUUUACCACUCCACCACCGUCUACACACAGGGUACUGAUGGAAAGAACACAUUGAGUCGCUUCAAACAUCGUCCUGAAAAGCGGCAUCUGGACAAGGGGUGAUGCUGCACAUAUUACUCGAAGGGUGCAGUGGUCGCUCACUUGCUGUCAACUUUUUUUUUAAUUAAUAUCUUAAUUGUUGAAAAUACCAAAUCAUCCACGGUUCAACUGUUAAUUAGAAAAAUACCAGAAUAAAAAUACACAAAUACUCCUUGUUGUAAAUAUUAUUUCUUAUGUUCUUAAGGGUAUGAAGAUCUUUAUUUUUGAAAUAUAAAAAGACAGAAUUAACCUUAACCAACUUCUUAAUAAAUCUUGUUCUUAAUAGUAAUAUAGUCUUUAUAUUGUAAUUAUGAAAUAUUAAAAACCUCCAAUCAAUAGCAUAGUGACCUAUUGGUUCUGUUAAAAAGACUGAAUUACCCUUAAAAACAAGAUAAUUGUUUUUUGUUAGAAGGAAAAAAAGUAAUUAUACUAUUCUAGUGAAUAGUGAUAUGUGUCGGGUUAUUAAAAAAUUAACUUUCAAAGUCUUUGAAGUUAAAAAAAAAAAAAAAACAGGCAAAAUGCAUCAGCAAAAGCAUGCAUCCAAGUCCACAAAGAAAAGAAGGAAAAUAACUUGACUUUAGUGGUGAAAAUUGUUUAAUUUUAUAUUUAGCAUGAAAGGUUGGUUAGUAUAGUGAGAACUUGGAAGAAGAGUGCUAUUUGAGUCAAAAUUGACGUCCUGAGAAGGAUUGCAACCAUCAUCGAAUAGGUGGAUUCAGCUUAGUUACGGUGGGUGCAAUUGCUAAUUCUCUAUACUUCUCCUUUUAACUCUGCAAAGAAUAAUUGACCGCCUUGCUCUUCUUUGAAUGGAAAUGCAAAUAUAUUUUUUUGGUUCUUCAAGGUAUCCUCAGGCUAUUUCCGAGGACUAAUUCUUCGAGAUUCUAUAAUGCGUCAAGAUGGGGACCUCUCCUAAGAAAGUUUGCUGUAUUCACAAGGAUUUGAAACCGAGACCAUUUGCUUAAGCGACUAGUAAGUAGUCUUGGUGAUGUAGUCGAACAUGUGAUUGUAAUUCUAAGCAGUCAGGUAUGAAUCUGUCAUAGCUAGAUGAAGAUCUGCCACGAACAGAUUACAUGAAUGACCUAGCAAAUGUAUUUAUAGAUUAAUAAAACAAGUUUAGACUCAAGAGGAGGUUUGAUCGCGCUAGACCUGAGUCAUAGCUCAAAAGAGCCAUAACUUUUGAUCUAAUUGUUGGAUUACGUUCAAAUUUUUUACAAGAGUUGAAUUAUAUUGAUCAUUGACCCGAGUUAAUGUAAGGAUAAUAAUAAUAAUAAUAAUAAUAAUAAUAAUAAUAAUAAUAAUUAUUAUAGUUUUAAAGUUCGAUUCGAGAAUCAACUCGGGGUCAGGCCCGGGUUAAAGUUCAGGUUAACCGUUAACCUGGAUAUAAAAAUAGUAAUUAUGGUAGUUUUAAUUAUCCAUGUACGCUUUGGAAUAUUUUACAUAAUUGUGGUGUUGGUAACCGUAGCAGUUCUGUUCAUAAAUUCGUACUGGCGACGUGCAUGGUUUUACUUGAUCGAAGCCUGCAUUGGAACUUGUUACUAUUUUGUCUUGGACAGCUUUUAUAAGCUUUCCAGCUUCAGAUGUCCAUAGGGUCUGUGUACUUCAUUUCCUCCUGCAAUUCACAGCUUGAAAUAAUAAACUAACCAGAUGUUUGUGGAAUGCAUAAACGCAAAUUUGUUUCACUUGUAAUUAAACUUUCACUUGCAAUGUAAGCUCCGGUGGUUUCCAAUCCCUUAGAUAUGCAUGAGCCGAUCUCCUAAUGUACUAAAUGCUAGUAUGCAUAACAGUAGAUGCUGUCAAUGAUAAACGGUGAGAGUUUUAAGCAAAUGUUUAAUUAAUUGCGAGAACUGGGAAACAAUAAACAAUCGUAGAACAUAGAAAUUUCUUUCUUUUUUGUUUCUAAUAAGUUGAAAUUGUUAAUCUUGAGCCAUUUACAUGUCGAUAUUUUUCAAUCAAGUCAAGUUUAAGACUUCCAGAUGGGAUGUACUCUUAAAACAUAUUUAUAAAACAGGUCAACCUGAUAAUCUACCCACCAAGAACCUAAUUCAAGCCGAAUUUUACUUGAUUCUGUAGAUUAUGUUGGUUGAUUUUGUAGAUUAUUUGAAGAUUAUCUAAACUAAACAUAGUAAGUCUUGACAGUGGAAAUGUUAUUCUAUCUGGUAGAAAGCAUAUCAAGUGUGUUAUUCUUCCAGCUAAUGCGAAUAUGGUUGCCGAAUCACUUGAAAGACGAAAUCAAAACUGGUAAUCCCUCUUUCCCUCUCCAUGCAAGUAUUAAAAUAUACAUGCUCUGCAAAUUAAAACUGCAGUCUGCUAAAAUUUUCUUAUGCAACCAUAACUGCUAUUUUUUAGUCUGCAGGACCGUUCGCAUGAAAGCUGCAAAUGAUUUGAUCAUACAAAUUGGAGAUUCCAUCUGUCAGUUACAUAAGGUACAAUGACAUGCUUUCAAUAACCAAAUGGACCUAAUUGAUCUAUCUGAUUUCGCUUUAUGUACUCUAAAAGUGAAUCACUCCAGUCUUGGGGGAAAAUCUAUUUGAAUAUCUGCAUUAAAUUUGUGUCUAAAUAUUUCUUGAGCUGCUAUAAGUUUAAUCCUGAGGUUAGACCAUAUUCCUUCCCUGUAAAUCAUGGAAAAAAGCUUACCAAUACAUGGUAGAGUCAGACAAGAAAGAAUCUUAUAGCUACUAAAUAGUACAGCUGCUAAGAAGAUUCAGGUAUCAAAAUUAUCUGCAUUAUGAUGCUUCAUUGAUUCACAUGUCAUAUAUGUCUUUCCCCAAUUAUGAAGUGUUUUACCUUUAAACUUCUAAAAAAACGGUUAAGAGUUUUCUUUGCUCUCCCUGUAGAAGAAUCUGUCUUCAGAUUUUAGCUUUCAUGUCAUUUUUUGUGUGCACAACUUCCCAUGGUCUGAAGAAAUGAAUAUUUGAAUAGUUUAGUUUUCUAGAGAAGAAGCCAUGGACGAAAGGGUACCCUCCCCAAGAUUCAAUCAGAAAAUUUUACAGGUGGAUCUGAAAUCUUUGAGAUAGUAGUGAAGUGUUCUGCUAUGGACGGAAGGUUCGAAACAAGCAAACACGUGGUUCGUUGGAAAUUGGAAUGCCUAGGAUUAACUUACACGGAUGUUAAGGCAUCCAUAAAAAAAACCUACAACUCUGAAGUCAUUUGUGCAUUCCUAAAAGAUGAAGAUUCAAAAGCUGAGAAAGAAGGCAUCGGUGAGGGCGUGAAGGACUUCAGAGUAUCAAUCAACCUUAGGACAGUACGAAGUCAUCCCUGCUAAGAAAGCUGGUGUGAAGAUAUGUUUCAAGUGUAAACAACUCUGGUGUGUACAGGUUAUGAAAUAUCUGGAUCUGCAUGCAUUAUUACCAACUCUUAAAUAUGGAAGGCUUGAUUAUCUAGUAAUUAAUUUAUAAAUGGUUAUGGUGUAAUAUUGUUAUAUGCUCAAUUAUUUUCUUUUCUCUCAUAUCAUCAUCAUUUCCAGUCAACACUGUUAAAAUGCAUAACUAAACAGAAUAGCAAAUUGAAAAAUGCUGUACUUUCAAAUAAAUCCAGCAUCGAUCAACUUUGCUCAAAAUGGCAUUCUCACCUAUCUGCUUGAGAGUUGCAGCUCACUACUGUGUUUUUUUCCAUCAGAACAGAACAAAGAAAAGUAACAAAAAUAGAAUAGAAUUGAACAUAAUAGAACUAUACAUUUUUUUUUAUACUAAAUCCAGAUGGUGUUUCUGUUUCUCUGUAGCGAGCAUUAUUUUUUUCAUUUCACCAUUUUUUGUUCCAAAUUUAACAUUUCGAUGGUUAGGUCAAGCUUACAUUCUUAGAUUCUCAGCCAGCAAGUUAUUUUUCAGUGAUCUCAACCUGUUCUUUGAGGGUACCAUAAAGACUCUCGACAACAUUGAGCAGGAAAGCGUCUGAACCUUGUUUUGCCAACAAUGAAACAGAUACAGGAAGAUUGUCAUACAUCCCUAGCGGUAUGCUAACCUGUAUAUUGGUAAGAAACCCACAUAAGGAAAUAAUCCGGAAGUUCUAUAGAGAACAAUAUAAAGUAAAAUUUCAUUAGUAUAUAGUACCUGGCAGAAUCCUGAUACUCCAGCAAUGGACAGCAAGCCAAAAGCCUUAGCACGGAAGAUUUUCAGUGUUGUUGGAUCUGUUUGCAGUUUCGGUGGAAGCCCUGAAACAGUAGGGAUAGCUAGGAUACCAAAAUCCUGCAAGUGCAAGGAACUCAUAACUGAACAGGAGCAUAAUUUGUAGCCUAAUAAAAUGUAGACUAUAAUAGAUUCUAAGUAUAUGAUUUCUUCCUUGGCUAAAUAAAUCCAUGCUUUGUAGUCACAUGAGAGAGGUACCUGAAGGAGAGUUGCAAGGGCAGCGUGUAAUUCAGUCUUUACAGAGUGGCAGGCAUCAACGUUUUCCCCAGUUGUUCUAACAGCUUCCCAUACCCUUUCUGAUAUUGCUGGACCCAAUUCAGGUUUGACUGCAGUGAUCCAUUCACCAUGGUUAUCCUUGAAUUCAUACCUAUACAUCAAAUAAUAAUGAAAUUCAGGAGUCCGGAAUUGAUUAGGAACAGCUUCGUAUGGCACUUCCCCCAAAGAGUAUAUCAUUCAGGUUGAUUGAUCAAAUCCAUUCCAGGAAAAUUCCGUUGAAUUUUUGCACCUUUCAAGUGAUCUCAUGGCAUUUGAGAGGGCUGCCAAAGAUGGAAUGUUAUGCUCCAGUUCUUUUAUUUCGUUACUCAUAAAAUGUUUCAGACUUGGAACUUUUUCCUUGACAUAGUCCCCGAGGACCGUGUGCUUCAAAACAUGGCCUGUGUAAACAAAAAUAAUAAGUGAUAUCUCAGCAAAUGAUAACAAACUGAUGCAAAUACUAAAAUGCUUUUGGGCACCAAAAGCAAUGAAUCAGAACUAGUCUUUAUUACGUGAUAUUGUAUCAGUCAUGUUUUGAAUCAAAACUUAAAAAUGAGUCUUCAAAUACCUUGUGAAGUUAGAACAGUUAUUUCAAAACUUCUGGUUUAGGGCUUGAACAGUAGUAAUGGUACCAUUAUUACAUAUUAACUGACCUCCAUAUAUCUUCUCCACUGAUUUCACAAGAACUUGACCUAGUCGAUCGUUUGGAAUGUUUGAAAGCUGGAAACAAUCUUCUGCAAUAAUAACUUGACUAGGUUUGAUAGGAUCCAUAACAGGCGAUUGGAGUAGAAUAUGUCCUACCCGACUCAGAAUCACAGGGUCCCUGGCAAACCAUCCUGGUCGAAAAAUUAGUGUCAAAACAGUGAACCACCAGAUUAGAGUUUAUUACAAACAAACGCAGACAAAAGAACUGUAUGGGCAACCUCAAACAAACUAGAAACAACAACUAGUUUCAUAAGAAUUAAACGUUUAUCAAUUAAGUAAAAUUUAAAACUUCCAGAUGGAACGUACUAUUUAAAAUGCGUAGUUGUCUUAUGCAGCUCGUUAUUCAAAAGUCUAGAAUGUUGCCAUGAAUAUUGGAAGCUCAAAAUACUUGCUGGUUAGUUUAUUGGCUCACCUGUUUGCAAUCAAAUUCAAAAUGAAACCAUUACAUGCUCAGUUCUUACCCACAGUAUCAAAACUCUGUGCCAAGGGAACAACUCCUGCACUCGGAACAGCAUCAUAUGAAGGUCGAAACCCCAAAAUUCCACAAUAUGAUGCAGGGACUCUUACACUUCCUCCAGUGUCAGUACCUGUUGUCGAGAGAACAUUUUACUUCACUUUACCUACAACAAACUAAAAUACAUCAAGAAUCAUUCAGAUUGGACAAUUUAUAUAAGGAGAAGUCUACAAUUUUUGCACCAACCGCAACAGCAGACCCACUUGAAGAUCCUCCGGGUACACGGUCGGGAGCACAUGGAUUUAUAGGUGUGCCGUAAUGUAUAUUUUCUCCAUCUAUACUGCCUCAUAAAAAGGAGUUCAUACAACAACAACUAAACCUCAAUAAAAAAAAAAAGUGGUUUAUAAGUAACAAAUGAUAUGUGAGGUUUCUUAGUACAUUUGACCUUCUAAAAGGUGCUGCAAGACUCUCGAAAGAUGAGAGGCUAACUAGAAUUCUCAACUCUUGUGUUUAGAAUUAAAUUUACAUGUGCUAUUAAGAUGAAUCACUGGAUUCAAUAAGAUGGUAAGUUUUAAAAAUGAUUAAACUAAGCCUGUAUAUGUUCAUAGUCCUUGCAACUUUUAAUAAACCCACAACUUCGCUUCAAUUACUUAAAGUUACGAAACCACCAUCAUUUAUCUUCAAAACACCAAUGCAGUAAGAAAUUGAGUUCAUGUUAUAACACAAGUUUCAAAAUUAUUUUCCAACAAGGACUUAUGAAAAAUCGUGAACUCUCUAUAGAACUUAACUCCAGAACUAGUUUUUUACAUGUUGAUCCUGUGUAAUUUUAUUGGGGUAUAAUCCAAUAUUCACCAAAUGAAUCCUGUUUAAUCAUAUCCUAUGAUGGCAUGAGCUCUUGUUUAAGAAAAUUGGAAAAGGAAAAGGCUUUCACAUUC